rnacentral:rRNA from 1 species
GUUGAUCCCGCCGGACCUGACUGCUAUCGGAUUGAUACUAAGCCAUGCGAGUCAUUGUAGCAAUACAAGGUCAGACGGCUCAGUAACGCGUAGUCAAUCUACCCUAUGGACGGGAAUAACCUCGGGAAACUGAGAAUAAUGCCCGAUAGAACAUUAUGCCUGGAAUGGUUUAUGUUUCAAAUGAUUUAUCGCCAUAGGAUGGGACUGCGGCCUAUCAGUUUGUUGGUGAGGUAAUGGCCCACCAAGACUAUUACAGGUGCGGGCUCUGAGAGGAGUGGCCCGGAGAUGGGUACUGAGACACGGACCCAGGCCCUAUGGGGCGCAGCAGGCGAGAAAACUUUGCAAUGUGCGAAAGCACGACAAGGUUAAUCCGAGAUGGUUUCUGCUAAAGAAACCUUUUGUCAGUCCUAGAAACACUAACGAAUAAGGGGUGGGCAAGUUCUGGUGUCAGCCGCCGCGGUAAAACCAGCACCUCAAGUGGUCAGGAUGAUUAUUGGGCCUAAAGCAUCCGUAGCUCGUUUUGUAAGUUUUCGGUUAAACCCAUACGCUUAACGUAUGGGCUGCCGGGAAUACUGCAUAACUAGGGAGUGGGAGAGGUAAACGGUACUCGGUAGGAAGGGGUAAAAUCCUUUGAUCUAUUGAUGACCACCUGUGGCGAAGGCGGUCUACCAAAACACGUUCGACGGUGACGGAUGAAAGCUGGGGGAGCAACCGGAUUAAAUACCCGGGUACUCCCAGCCUGUAAACUAUGCAACUCAGUGAUGCAUUGGC